rnacentral:rRNA from 1 species
UACGGGGGGGGGCAAGCGUUGUUCGGAAUUACUGGGCGUAAAGGGCUCGUAGGUGGCCAACUAAGUCAGACGUGAAAUCCCUCGGCUUAACCGGGGAACUGCGUCUGAUACUGGAUGGCUUGAAUUCGGGAGAGGGAUGCAGAAUUCCAGGUGUAGCGGUGAAAUGCGUAGAUAUCUGGAGGAAUACCGGUGGCGAAGGCGGCAUCCUGGACCGACAUUGACGCUGAACGGCGAAAGCUAGGGGAGCAAACGGG